rnacentral:lncRNA from 1 species
AACCGGGUGAAGUACAGAGGGUAGAUGACAGCGGCCGUGGCACACAGCAGGGUCGCCAACAUGGCGAAGGCUGCUGUGAAGUUGCCCCAGGAAAGGCGCAGGCAGCUGUGGAGUUUUGUGAACUCACAGGCUACCACCAGGACUGAGAAGGCAAAACAGAAGCCCCAAGCAGCCAUGCAGAAAGUGCCCUGGACACCCCCAAAACCACCUCGGUGAGCAACCAAACUGAAAGUGGUACAGCCAAAGGCCAGCUGCAGCAUUCGGGCUGUACCCACCGGCGAGGUCACAGCGCCUAAGUGCAGACCCUUCCCACCACCCUUUGGAACGAAGGACUGAGGGAACUAUUUGGUAGCCCCAAAAUAUAGAAAGGAAAGCAUAUGGAUUUGUCUCUGAUGCCACUGCAAAUGACCAACAGUUUUGGUGCUAAAGUCAGGACAGUCCCAGGACUGGUGUACAGUUCAGGAUAGCCCACCACUUCCCAAAUGCCUCAUCUGAACUGGCCACUCACAGCGCAGAGUUGGGAAUACUUUGUAGCCAAAGAAGCAAUUCCAUUCCUCUCCUUCCUUGAACUGGCGCUGGCAGCGCUCCGGGACCAUCCCACUCCAGUACCUGCAGCACAAUCAUAGGAACCAGCCUGAGUCAGCCAGGCCCCGCACCUGGAUAGAUGGGUAGCCCAACUCCUCCAGCAGCUCAGCCACGCGGUCUACAUUCAACAGCACCCCGGUGCCCCCAGCGCUGAGGGAAGGCCAGACGUGAGGCCAAGUGGCUGGGGAGGGUGCUUGCUGUCCACCCAGAGCUGGUUUAGCCCUAGUCCUGAGGAAGCACUGCCUCUGAACAAUGCAUUCUGACUGUAACCAUGUUGAGAGAGGCAAGACACAGGGGCCCCUCUCCCUUACGGUCUGGGGGCAGAGGACAGGUAGAGUUCUAAGCGCUGACCCACAGCUAAGACUGGCAGAGCACAGAGCUGACUGUCCUUUCCCUCUGCUUCCUUCCUGUAUCAAUUUCCUUAUCUGAAGGAGAAGACAAACUCUGGAGG